UACCAUGCAGUCGAACGGGCACUUCGGUGCUAGUGGCAGACGGGUGAGUAACACGUGGGAACGUACCUUUCGGUUCGGAAUAAUCCAGGGAAACUUGGACUAAUACCGGAUACGCCCUUCGGGGGAAAGAUUUAUCGCCGAUAGAUCGGCCCGCGUCUGAUUAGCUAGUUGGUGAGGUAAUGGCUCACCAAGGCGACGAUCAGUAGCUGGUCUGAGAGGAUGAUCAGCCACAUUGGGACUGAGACACGGCCCAAACUCCUACGGGAGGCAGCAGUGGGGAAUAUUGGACAAUGGGCGCAAGCCUGAUCCAGCCAUGCCGCGUGAGUGAUGAAGGCCUUAGGGUUGUAAAGCUCUUUUGUCCGGGAAGAUAAUGACUGUACCGGAAGAAUAAGCCCCGGCUAACUUCGUGCCAGCA
rnacentral:rRNA from 1 species